CUUGAAUGCGGUUGUGCCUAUGAUACAGCUAUCUGCAUCCUUAAGUCAUGCAGGCCACCCACAAUGGCAAGUGCAUGGUUCAUGGGACAGUCAUCCCUGUACAUGUUGUUGUCCAUUAAAACAACAACAUCAGGAAAGAUAGCAAAUAACAAAAUUUUACUUAUUGUGCAUACACAGUAUAAAAAGAAUAAUACACAAUUAAAUUUGUAAGUGAUUAGAGUUUUACAGGGUGUGAAAUUUAGCCAACAGUUUCCACCUCUGGCUGCCACAACAGCUCUGACUUGGCUGAGCUUGGGUUACAGAUUACAGGUGCAUAUCAUAACAUGCUUUGGAGACUGCAUGGUGAAUUACACCAAGGAAGAAUGACUGAAAAUAGUGGAAUUUUAUUUUCAAAAUAACAGGUCUAUUACUCUGAUGCAAAGAGCUUAUCAUAACCAUUUACUAGUCAGACAUGGACCUCAGCAAUGAUGAUUUGGAAACUAAUGGCACACUUGCUGUGAUAAACCUUCCGCUUACUGGUAGACCAUGUUCAUCUCUCAGCAAAGAGAACAUUGUAGGAGUUAGGGCCAGUGUCGAAGAAGAAUGGGAAACAUCAACAUGAAGAUGUUCUAGGGAAUCAGGGAACCCGAACAUCCUUAAGGAGAAUUUUAAAACAUAAUUUAAACAUGUACUACACAAAAUACAGUUAGUGCAGGAACUGAGACCCAUGGGCCAUGAAGUGUGCCGAAAUUUUGUAAUUCACAUCCAAGAAUUAGCCAGAGAAAACAAUGAAUUUAUCCUCCAAGUUAUCUUGUCAGAUGAGACUCAUUUCCAUCUGAAUGAUUACGUCAAUAAACAGAACUGUUGGUUCUGUGUAUGACAAAUUUAAGGAUAAAUCAUGAGCCCCAGGUGCACCCUAUCAAGUGCACAGUUUGGUGUGGGGUGACCUCGCAGGAAGAUAUUUGGCCUUAUUUCUUUGAAACUGAUAACGGUCACAAUUUGUCAAUUACUAGUGAGAGCCCAAGAUAUGACUGAUAAUUUUUUAUAUCCUGCAGUAGAAGAUCAUCCCAAAAUGUGGUUUCAGCGGGAUGGGGCAACCUCCCAUACUCCCAGAACCACAGUGAAACCUCAGAGGCAACUGUUCAGUGAGCGGAGAAUUUCAAUAAAUUCUCAUGUUAAUUGGCGGCCAUGUUCCCCUGUCCUUACAGCCUCUGAUUACUACUUGUGAGGAUACCUUAAGGAAUUUGUGGACAUGAACAAAUUGUGUACACUUCAGCAGCAUAAGGACAAUAUCCAUGCAAACACUUGUGUAUUAACCAGAAUGAGAUUUUCACUCUGCAGCGGAGUGUGCACUGAUAUGAAACUUCCUGGCACAUUAAAACUGUGUGCUCGACCGAGACUCGAACUCGGGACCUUUGCCUUUUGCGGGCAAGUGCUCUAACAUAUUUUUCAAAGCAUUAUGUAAUUUUCAAAAUAACAGUUUGUUCUUACAAUGGUCUACGAGUUGUCGGAUGUCACCCAAAAUUGGCAGUCCACAGUGUGAAAGCAAAUGAGUACCUGAAAUCCACGUCGAACGCAUUGUUGACUCAAACCACAAUUAUACACAUCUUAUGAGUGAAAAUAUGUGCACCAGCAACUUCAAAGUUCAAGAACUUUAAUGUGUAAAAACUUUCGCAUGAUUACAGUACCUCUAAUGAAUUAACAUUGUGACCCAAUUGUGUUGUAAUUAACAAGUACUGAGAAAGGUCUUUGUCAUUGAAGUGAGCAAUUGUUGAACAUGUUGAUGUUAAUUAUGGAAUGAUUUAAAUGAUCUAGUGCAGUGUGACUGGUUCCAAUGAAUUAUUAAAGAACUGUGCUAAAUGUGAA